rnacentral:rRNA from 1 species
CGAAAGCCUGACGGAGCAAGACCGCGUGAGGGAGGAAGGCUCUUGGGUUGUAAACCUCUUUUCUCAGGGAAGAAGCUCUGACGGUACCUGAGGAAUCAGCAUCGGCUAACUCCGUGCCAGCAGCCGCGGUAAGACGGAGGAUGCAAGCGUUAUCCGGAAUUAUUGGGCGUAAAGCGUCCGCAGGUGGUGAGUCAAGUCUGCUGUCAAAGCCAGGAGCUCAACUCCUGUCCGGCAGUGGAAACUGAAUGGCUAGAGUGCCGUAGGGGUAGAGGGAAUUCCCGGUGUAGCGGUGAAAUGCGUAGAGAUUGGGAAGAACACCGGUGGCGAAAGCGCUCUACUGGACCACACCUGACACUCAGAGGACGAAAGCUAGGGGAGCG